UUGAUCUUUGCAGCAGCUGAUAAAGAUUAAACCGUAAUUGACUCAAAACAGGCCAGACAGCUUGUGCAGCUUGAAAAGCUUCAGAAGAGGCAAAGAUAAUGGAAGACAGCAAAAUUCUCACAAGCUGGUGAGAACUGAAGAUGUAAGAAAUAUCAAAGCUAUUUGCACUAUAAUUUACUUUUUGAGCUCCUGACAUUUACCCAGCUGACUAUCUUUGGAGAACAAUCGCUUGAUUUGGCUGGGAAACUCUAUAGGUAAGAAAACUGCAAUGCAUCAUACUGCAAUUUGUAACUGACAAAGUGCAUGGGCUUUGCAGCUUAAAGGGUGAGCUU